UACAGGGGGGCAAGCGUUGUUCGGAAUUACUGGGCGUAAAGGGCUCGUAGGUGGCCAACUAAGUCAGACGUGAAAUCCCUCAGCUUAACUUGGGAACUGCGUCCGAUACUGGAUGGCUUGAAUCCGGGAGAGGAGAGUGGAAUUCCUGGUGUAGCGGUGAAUGCGCAGAUAUCAGGAAGAACACCCGUGGCGAAAGCGGCUCUCUGGAACGGUACUGACGCUGAGACGCGAAAGCGUGGGGAGCGAACAGG
rnacentral:rRNA from 1 species